CACGUAGGAGGCGAGCGUUGUCCGGAAUCAUUGGGCGUAAAGAGCGCGCAGGCGGCUUGGCAAGUCGGGUGUGAAAUCCCGGGGCUCAACCCCGGGACUGCAUUCGAUACUGUCAGGCUAGAGGUAGGUAGGGGAGAUCGGAAUUCCUGGUGUAGCGGUGAAAUGCGCAGAUAUCAGGAGGAACACCGGUGGCGAAGGCAGGUCUCUGGGCCACUACUGACGCUGAGAAGCGAAAGCAUGGGGAGCGAACAGG
rnacentral:rRNA from 1 species